GACGUAGGGCGCGAGCGUUGUCCAGAUUUAUUGGGCGUAAAGAGCUCGUAGGCGGCUUGUCGCGUCGUCCGUGAAAACCUGCAGCUCAACUGCAGGCUUGCGGUCGAUACGGGCAGGCUGGAGUUCGGUAGGGGAGACUGGAAUUCCUGGUGUAGCGGUGAAAUGCGCAGAUAUCAGGAGGAACACCGGUGGCGAAGGCGGGUCUCUGGGCCGAUACUGACGCUGAGGAGCGAAAGCGUGGGGAGCGAACAGG
rnacentral:rRNA from 1 species